AGCUUUGUAAAAAAAAAUUUUUUUGUGUUUUGUGUACCGAAAGGGCUGCUUCAGCUGGCAUUAGAAUUUACCUUUUGUAUAAUGGUUAAACUAAAUUAAAAGUUUAUACUUUUUCCCGAAAUGAAAAGAUCUUAAAAGAUUUUUAUCUUAGAAUCUUUUCUUAUGUGGCAAUAUGGGGCAUAAAAAUCUUUUAAGGGUCGAAAAGAUUUCACUUUUCAAUAUAGCUGGAUUCUGUGAAAGAUUUUAAAAAUUAAAGUUAAUUUUUAGGCGCUUAGGUCUAAAAAGUAAAGUAUAUAAAAUUUUAUUAGUUUUGAGUUAAUCCCCAAAACUCAAAUAUAAAGUUAUUAAUUGUGAUUUUAUCUUUACGUUAGCAAGAAGACUCCGCCAACCCAAUAGGGGUUUUAUUCUGUUUAAAUUAGUAGUUAUUAUAUUAAUAAAAUGGUAGUAAGGAAUUCGGCAAACAUCAACUUCAACUGUUUAACAAAAACAUAGCCUGAGGAUUGAUCUUAGGUGUUACCUGCCCAAUGUGUGUAUGAAUGGCCGCGGUACUUUGACCGUGCUAAGGUAGCGUAAUAAGUUGGCUUUUAAUUGAAGUCAGGUAUGAAUGGAUUUAUGGGGUUAAGCUGUCUUUUACCAUUUAAUUGAAUUUACCUUUUAGGUGUAAAGGCCUAAAAUUUCCAAGGGACGAGAAGACCCUUAGAGCUUUACCGCAAUGUUUUAUACUGUGGUUUUGUUGGGGCGACAUAAGAAUAUUUUGAUCUUCUUUAUAAACAAACCGAUGUUUUAUAUAUGAGAUUAGCUACCUUAGGGAUAACAGCAUAAUAUUGUAAUUAAGCUUGUGACCUCGAUGUUGGACUAGGAACCUUUUUGAUUAGAAGUAAAAAAGUUAAGUUCUGUUCGAACUAAAUUUCCU
rnacentral:rRNA from 1 species